rnacentral:rRNA from 1 species
CGUGUAGGCGGUUAGGUAGGUCCGAUGUGAAAACUGGAGGCUCAACCUCCAGCUGUCAUUGGAAACCAUCUGGCUAGAGUCCGGAAGAGGAGAGUGGAAUUCCUGGUGUAGCGGUGAAAUGCGCAGAUAUCAGGAAGAACACCUAUGGCGAAGGCAGCUCUCUGGGACGGUACUGACGCUGAGACGCGAAGCGUGGGGAGCGAACA